rnacentral:lncRNA from 1 species
CUUGGCUGUCCUUGGCACAGGGCCUGCUAGAGGUGACAGUCACGCAGCCAGGUGUGCAGUGCAGACAAGGACAUGGUGGGCACAAUGCAUGCUACACACAGAUGUUCGGGUAUUCAUUCUACAAACAUCGAUUCAGGCUUGGCAGUGUGGCAGGCUGGACUUGGGACUGGGUAUCCAGCAGCGAAUACAACACAGCCCCUUGAGCUGCCGGUCUCACAGGAAAGCAGUACCUGGAGAAACUGGCCGGUGGUGCCCCCACCCCGCCCCCAUGAAUAAUUGCUGUGGCCGUGGCUCCCAGUAAAGGGCGACGGGAGGCCCCAGAUACCCCAUGCGGGCACCGAUCAAGAGCUGGACGCCAGAGCUGGACCACCCGGGCUCCGUGAUCUGAGGCAGUUACCUCGCCUGUCUGUGCCCCAGUUUCCUCAUCUGCAAAAAGGGGUGAUAGUGGUGGUACCUAUGUCAUAAUUUUCAUGUGAAUCAGGUGAGUUUGUGUUUUUAAAGUACUCAGGACAGUGCCCGGCAGAGGACCAGGCUGUCCCUCACCUUGACAUGUAGGUUUUGCUGUCCCCGUUUUAAAGAUAAGAAAACCGAGGCUGAGAAUGGUUACGAGGUCAGCCCUUGGUCACCCUGUCCUCAUUCUGUACCAUGAACAUCCACGGGUCCCCUUUCUGCCCAGCUGGCCUGUGAUUGCCUCAUCUCUCCAUUCCCAGUAACCACCUGGCAAAGCAGGUGCUGAGAACCGUCGGAUGAAUUCGUGCAUGACUGAAGACUCAGACCCCGCGCCCUUGGGCUCCCGGGGCCUCGGACAGGACUGGGAGGCUGAGCACACUCAGACGGUGCAGGAGGUGCACCUGUGCCAGUACACAGCGGGCCCUCAGACACCGCAGGGACCUCGUCCCCCAACCGUGGCCAGAAGCACCCAGCCAUUAGGAAGCCAAAGAAUCACUUUGACCUGAGUACUGCUUGCAGAUCUUGGGACGAGCGGUAUACGUCCAUGCCCAGGAUCCCAAACUGCAAACCCGGGCCACUGAAGCAGAGUGUGCCCAACUUCACCACCAUGCCACAGGGCCGGCCUUGAUCACUGCAUGCUCAACUUCGGAGGAACCACCAAACUUUUUUCCAGUGGCUGCACCAUUUUAUAUUCCCACUGACAAUGUACAAAGGUCCUGAUUUCCCCACAUCCUCG